GUCUACAGCCAUACCACCCUGAACGUGCUCAAUCUCGUCUGAUCUCGGAAGCUAAGCAGGGUCAGGCCUGGUUAGUACUUGGAAAGGAGACCACCUAGGAACACCAGGGGCUAUAGGCG
rnacentral:rRNA from 1 species